GCCAGUGUGGCAUAGUGGUUGGAGUGUUGGACUACGAUUUUGGAGACCAGGGUUCAAUUCCCAGCUCAUCCA